rnacentral:misc_RNA from 1 species
UUAUAGUCAUUCGACUGCGCUGUUCAGACGGAGGUGCAGGUUUUCAGAAUUGAGUUUCCGUGACGCCGCCGGCAGGCUUACCGCUGCUGAGAGGGGGCACCUGACGCCGCCGUCAGGCUCACCGCUACUGAGAGGGGCUGCCGAAGCAACGGGAGGGAUUUCACAAAGUGUGCGCUGUCAGCAGCCAUCCCGGCGCUUCCGCCAGCGAGGGGCGCGGGCACUGGCCGGCGCGCCCCCGCGAUGAUUUUGUAAUGAUCCUUCCGCAGGUUCACCUACGGAAA